CCCCAGAUGUUGCUGAACUACAACUCCCAUUAUAGCAAGAGACUCAUGGGAGUUGUAGUUCAGCAACAUCUGGGG